UACGGAGGAUACAAGCGUUAUCCGGAUUUAUUGGGCUUAAAGGGUGCGCAGGCGGACCGUUGAGUCAGGGGUGAAAAGUCGGGGCCCAACCUCGAUCGUGCCUUUGAUACUGGCGGACUAGAGUGCGAUAGGCGUGGCCGGAAUGUGGUGUGUAGCGGUGAAAUGCUUAGAUAUGCACAGAACACCGAUCGAGAAGUCAGGUCACGAGUUCGCAACUGACGCUCAUGCACGAAAGCGUGGGGAUCAAACA
rnacentral:rRNA from 1 species